rnacentral:piRNA from 1 species
UGACAACUUACUGGUGCACUAAAAGGGGU